rnacentral:lncRNA from 1 species
UUCUUGCUGCUUUUUGAUGACUACCAUUUGUUGUAUUUGUUGCAUCAACUCUUGUGCAUCAAUUUCUGGCAAUGUACAAAGCUGGAUGGUUACAGUUGAUGUUGUUGCUGCU